rnacentral:rRNA from 1 species
AUUGAACGCUGGCGGAAUGCUUUACACAUGCAAGUCGAACGGCAGCGCGGGGGCAGCCCUGGUGGCGAGUGGCGAACGGGUGAGUAAUACAUCGGAACGUGCCCGGUCGUGGGGGAUAACGUAGCGAAAGUUACGCUAAUACCGCAUACGAUCUGAGGAUGAAAGCGGGGGACCUUCGGGCCUCGCGCGAUCGGAGCGGCCGAUGUCAGAUUAGGUAGUUGGUGGGGUAAAGGCCUACCAAGCCGACGAUCUGUAGCUGGUCUGAGAGGACGACCAGCCACACUGGGACUGGGACCCGGCCCGAACCCCUACGGGAGGCAGCAGUGGGGAAUUUGGGAAAAUGGGCGCAAGCCGGACCAAGCCAUCCCGGGGGCAGGACGAAGGCCUUCGGGUUGUAAACGGCUUUUGUACGGAACAAAAAGGCUUGGGCUAAUACCUGGGGCUCAGGACGGUACCGUAAGAAUAGCACCGGCUAACUACGU